rnacentral:rRNA from 1 species
AAUUUUGGACAAUGGGCGCAGGCCUGAUCCAGCCAUGCCGCGUGAGUGAAGAAGGCCUUCGGGUUGUAAAGCUCUUUCGUACGGCAAGAACUCGCGCAGGCUAAUACCCUUCGCGGAUGACGGUACCGUCAUAAGAAGCACCGGCUAACUACGUGCCAGCAGCCGCGGUAAUACGUAGGGUGCGUGCGUUAAUCGGAAUUACUGGGCGUAAAGCGUGCGCAGGCGGUUGAUUAAGACAGGCGUGAAAUCCCCGGGCUUAACCUGGGAACUGCGCUUGUGACUGGUCAGCUAGAGUACGGCAGAGGGGGGUGGAAUUCCAUGUGUAGCGGUGAAAUGCGUAAAUAUAUGGAGGAACACCAGAGGCGAAGGCGGCUUACUAGAUCGAUACUGACGCUCAUGCACGAAAGCGUGGGUAGCAAACAGG